AACGAACGCUGGCGGCGUGGAUAAGACAUGCAAGUCGAACGGGAUUAUUUUUGUAGCAAUACAGAAAUAAUUCAGUGGCGAACGGGUGCGUAACACGUGGGCAAUCUGCCGAAAAGUGGGGGAUAGCUCGCCGAAAGGCGAAUUAAUACCGCAUGUGGUGAGGGACGACAUCUUCCUGAAUCCAAAGCCGGGGCAACCUGGCGCUUUUUGAGGAGCCCGCGGCCUAUCAGCUAGUUGGUGAGGUAACGGCCCACCAAGGCUAUGACGGGUAGCUGGUCUGAGAGGACGACCAGUCACACUGGAACUGAGACACGGUCCAGACACCUACGGGUGGCAGCAGUCGAGAAUUUUUCUCAAGUGGGGAACCCUGAAGGAGCGACGCCGCGUGGAGGAUGAA
rnacentral:rRNA from 1 species